rnacentral:sRNA from 1 species
GCUGGGUGUGGUGGCGCUCACCUGUAAUUCCAGCUACUCAGGAAGCUGAGAUAGGAGGAUUGCAAGUUCUAGGUGAGCAAGACCACAUCUCAA